rnacentral:rRNA from 1 species
AGAGUUUGAUCAUGGCUCAGAUUGAACGCUGGCGGCAGGCCUAACACAUGCAAGUCGAACGGUAACAUUUCUAGCUUGCUAGAAGAUGACGAGUGGCGGACGGGUGAGUAAUGCUUGGGAACUUGCCUUUGCGAGGGGGAUAACAGUUGGAAACGACUGCUAAUACCGCAUAAUGUCUUCGGACCAAACGGGGCUUCGGCUCCGGCGCAAAGAGAGGCCCAAGUGAGAUUAGCUAGUUGGUGAGGUAAAGGCUCACCAAGGCGACGAUCUCUAGCUGUUCUGAGAGGAAGAUCAGCCACACUGGGACUGAGACACGGCCCAGACUCCUACGGGAGGCAGCAGUGGGGAAUAUUGCACAAUGGGGGAAACCCUGAUGCAGCCAUGCCGCGUGUGUGAAGAAGGCCUUCGGGUUGUAAAGCACUUUCAGUUGUGAGGAAAAGUUGGUAGUUAAUACCUGCCAGCCGUGACGUUAACAACAGAAGAAGCACCGGCUAACUCCGUGCCAGCAGCCGCGGUAAUACGGAGGGUGCGAGCGUUAAUCGGAAUUACUGGGCGUAAAGCGCACGCAGGCGGUUUGUUAAGCUAGAUGUGAAAGCCCCG